rnacentral:rRNA from 1 species
CCUACGGGAGGCAGCAGUAGGGAAUAUUGCGCAAUGAGCGAAAGCCUGACGCAGCGACGCCGCGUGAGGGAUGAAGGUCUUCGGAUCGUAAACCUCUGUCAGCAGGGAAGAACGGUCACUGUGCUAAUCAGCAGUGAAUUGACGGUACCUGCAAAGGAAGCACCGGCUAACUACGUGCCAGCAGCCGCGGUAAUACGGAGGGUGCGAGCGUUAAUCGGAAUUACUGGGCGUAAAGCGCUCGUAGGCGGUAUGUCAAGUCAAGGGUGAAAUCCCCGCGCUCAACGUGGGAACUGCCUUGGAAACUGGCAAACUGGAGUGUGUGAGAGGAUAGCGGAAUUCCAGGUGUAGGAGUGAAAUGCGUAGAUAUAUGGAGGAACAUCAGUGGCGAAGGCGACUAUCUGGCACAUAACUGACGCUGAGGAGCGAAAGCGUGGGUAGCAAACAGGAUUAGAUACCCGUGUAGUC